rnacentral:rRNA from 1 species
AACGAACGCUGGCGGCAUGCCUAACACAUGCAAGUCGAACGAGACCUUCGGGUCUAGUGGCGCACGGGUGCGUAACGCGUGGGAACCUGCCCUUAGGUUCGGAAUAACUCCCCGAAAGGGGUGCUAAUACCGGAUAAUGUCUUCGGACCAAAGAUUUAUCGCCUUUGGAUGGGCCCGCGUUGGAUUAGCUAGUUGGUAGGGUAAAAGCCUACCAAGGCGACGAUCCAUAGCUGGUCUGAGAGGAUGAUCAGCCACACUGGGACUGAGACACGGCCCAGACUACUACGGGAGGCAGCAGUGGGGAAUAUUGGACAAUGGGCGAAAGCAUGAUCCAGCAAUGCCGCGUGAGUGAUGAAGGCCUUAGGGUUGUAAAGCUCUUUUACCCGGGAUGAUAAUGACAGUACCGGGAGAAUAAGCUCCGGCUAACUCCGUG